UUUUGUUUAGGGGCCUGGUUUUUCUUUGCUUUGCCACAAGCUUAAGCUAUACAUACAUUUACUAAUUACUUAUGUGCACUUAGAUGUUUUAAAGAAGCUGAGCAUAACAAAAUGUCAUGACGAAGCACAGCACGUGAAGAUUAUUCUGCACCAGUUCUUUGCCCUAUUAGUUUUAAUCAUUUUAAAUAACAUGAUUUUUCUGGUACAAGAUUGCAGGACAGGAGAUGGGGUAGGGCCAAUUAUAAGGAAUUUCAGUUUGAUUUUUUCUAGAUUUAAAUGUUUGCUUCAUCACUGUAAACCUUGUUGAUUUGAGCAAAUGACUGAAGUUUUGUUCCCCAUUGGGAAUUCAGUAUGUGAAGUGUUUUUGGGGGAUUGCAUGUGGUAUUUACUUUGUGUGUUUUUUUUUUUUUUUUUUU